rnacentral:rRNA from 1 species
UACGGGGGAGCAAGCGUUGUUCGGAUUUACUGGGCGUAAAGGGCGCGUAGGCGGCCACGACAAGUCACUUGUGAAAUCUCCGGGCUUAACUCGGAACGGUCAAGUGAUACUGUCGGGCUAGAGUGCGGAAGGGGCAACUGGAAUUCUCGGUGUAGCGGUGAAAUGCGUAGAUAUCGAGAGGAACACCUGCGGCGAAGGCGGGUUGCUGGGCCGACACGUGACGCUGAGGCGCGAAAGCUAGGGGAGCGAACGGG